rnacentral:rRNA from 1 species
UACGUAGAGGGCAAGCGUUGUCCGGAGUUACUGGGCGUAAAGCGCACGCAGGCGGUCUCUUAAGUUUGGAGUGACAGUUGGUGGCUUAACUGCCAAAGUGCUUCGAAAACUGAGAGACUUGAGGGCUUCAGAGGGACACGGAAUUCCGGGUGGAGUGGUGAAAUGCGUAGAGAUCCGGAGGAACACCAAAGGCGAAGGCAGUGUCCUGGGGAGUACCUGACGCUCAGGUGCGAAAGCCAGGGGAGCGAACGGG